rnacentral:rRNA from 1 species
GACCAACGCUGGCGGCGUGCUUAACACAUGCAAGUCGAACGGAAAGGCCCUUCGGGGUACUCGAGUGGCGAACGGGUGAGUAACACGUGGGUGAUCUGCCCUGCACUUUGGGAUAAGCCUGGGAAACUGGGUCUAAUACCGAAUAGGACCACGGCAUUCAUGUGCUGUGGUGGAAAGCUUUUGCGGUGUGGGAUGGGCCCGCGGCCUAUCAGCUUGUUGGUGGGGUAAUGGCCUACCAAGGCGACGACGGGUAGCCGGCCGGAGAGGGUGACCGGCCACACUGGGACUGAGAUACGGCCCAGACUCCUACGGGAGGCAGCAGUGGGGAAUAUUGCACAAUGGGCGCAAGCCUGAUGCAGCGACGCCGCGUGAGGGAUGACGGCCUUCGGGUUGUAAACCUCUUUCAGUACCGACGAAGCGCAAGUGACGGUAGGUACAGAAGAAGGACCGGCCAACUACGUGCCAGCCGCCGCCGUAAUAC